GCGGGGUUGUGGCUCAGUGGUAGAGCACUUGCCUCACGCAUGUGAGGCACUGGGUUUGAUUCUCAGCACCGCA
rnacentral:tRNA from 1 species